AUGAAAGUUGUAUUUGUCUAUUGAUCGAGCUAAACAAACAAACAUGAAAGUUGUAAUUUUUGAAAGUAUUCUUGAAAAUCUAUAAAUUCAAACAAAUAUUUAUCGAAACAAAUAAACAAAAACAUAGAACUUUUGCAACAUAAAGUGGUUAAUAAAUUUUUAGUUGUUGCAAGCUUAGAAGAAAAAAUAUGACAAAAAUUAUUAAAUUUGUUCACCUUGUUUAUUUAUUAAUCCUCUUUAUUUCCUUAUUUCUUGUUUUACCGGAAGCUAGUGCAGUAACACCAACGCCAUGUAAAGAUGAUUAUGAAUGUCGAUUCUAUAAAUGUCAUGGUUUUUAUGUUGGAAAAUGCGUUAACGUUUUACUCAGAUGUGAAUGUCGUCAUCAAUUAGAAAAUUGGUAAGAGAUUGAUAUUGCAACCUCAAAAGACGAAGUUUAAAUCUCAAUUGAGACAAAUGUAAAAUGAUCAUUAGAAUCACUGUUAUUUAUAAUAAAUUUAUCUUUCCCAAUAUUUUAUUUAAAUGUUUUUUUUUCCUAUCAUGACAAUAAAAACAAUGUCACCAUAUGAUUAUAUUA